GAUGAACGCUGGCGGCGUGCCUAAUACAUGCCAGUCGAGCGAACGGACGAGAAGCUUGCUUCUCUGAUGUUAGCGGCGGACGGGUGAGUAACACGUGGAUAACCUACCUAUAAGACUGGGAUGACUUCGGGAAACCGGAGCUAAUACCGGAUAAUAUUUUGAACCGCAUGGUUCAAAAGUGAAAGACGGUCUUGCUGUCACUUAUAGAUGGAUCCGCGCUGCAUUAGCUAGUUGGUAAGGUAACGGCUUACCAAGGCAACGAUGCAUAGCCGACCUCAGAGGGUGAUCGGCCACACUGGAACUGAGACACGGUCCAGACUCCUACGGGAGGCAGCAGUAGGGAAUCUUCCGCAAUGGGCGAAAGCCUGACGGAGCAACGCCGCGUGAGUGAUGAAGGUCUUCGGAUCGUAAAACUCUGUUAUUAGGGAAGAACAUAUGUGUAAGUAACUGUGCACAUCUUGACGGUACCUAAUCAGAAAGCCACGGCUAACUACGUG
rnacentral:rRNA from 1 species